GACAGAGGCCUCAAGCGUUAAUCGGAAUCACUGGGCUUAAAGGGUGCGUAGGCGGCUCCGAAAGUGUCCUGUGAAAUCCCACGGCUCAACCGUGGAAUUGCGGGGCAAACUACGGAGCUUGAGGAAGGUAGAGGCGGGUGGAACGAUAGGUGGAGCGGUGGAAUGCGUAGAGAUCUAUCGGAACGCCGAAGGUGAAGACAGCCCGCUGGGCCUUUCCUGACGCUGAGGCACGAAAGCGUGGGGAGCAAAC
rnacentral:rRNA from 1 species